AUGUAUCUUUUCCCGAAAGACAUGCCGUCAAAUACAGCAGCAGGUACGCUGGGAGAGGAGCUGGCAGAGGCUUCUACCAGUCCGAAGGGUUCCUUUGACCUUGGUUAUGACCAGGAGUGUCGCUGUUCAUUGCAAGGCUGGCCUCAAGGUGGAAAUAGCAUCCGUUUCUACUGCCACCCCAGAGAGGCCAAGUUCUGCUGCCUGGCGAUGGCGGUGAGACGGUCCCUUCCAGGCUCCUCUCGCCACCCAGAGAGCUGCUCGGAGGCCGCCUACAGGUGCAAUCCCGGCACUGCGGCUCGGGCAGCAGGACGGGCAAGGGGCGAGCCCAAGCCCACCGGCCUCUCGGCCUGCCCUCCCAACGCCCGGGCAGGGCCCCUGAGUGCCGCCGCCCCGUCCCCCCGGCUUCUCCUCGCCUCGGCCCUGGCGUGGUUUGGAGAGGAAGCUGGGAGCCCUCGAGGCUCCGCGGGCUCGGGGCGGGGGUGGGGCGCGGCCGAGGCUUCCCCUCCAGUCUGCGGCAAGCCCGGCUCCGGGAAAGUUUUCCAAGUUCCCAGCAGCGCCUGCCCCGGUCGCCUCGGCCGGCCGAGCAGACGGGGGCAAGCGCGCCAGCCUCCCCGCCGCCACCGCCGCCUCCGCCGCCAGCAGCGCGCUCGCUCGCGGCAAGCGGGCCGGGAUCCCGGCGGGCAGGCCCUCCUCCCAGGGCGAGAGCCGCAGCUGACGCAGGCGGCUCGGAAGGCGGAAGCUGCCCCGCUCCGACCGCUCGGGCAGCCUCGCGGUGCCUACACCUGGAGCCCCGACGGCCGGGCACAGGCGCCUGGGCCAAGGCGCCCGAGGGGGCGGUCCACGCGGGGGGCCGCGGGCGUCCCCGAGCAACUGACACUUCCAAGUUCCUCCCGCGCCCUCCCUGCCUUGCCGCUGGGCCCAUGCUCCGGAAGGCGGGGGUCUGCGCUUGACCCCCCCCGUCGUCUACGCCGGCCUGCGUGUCCCCGACCCCCAAGCCCUUCCAAGUUCCUCCCAGUACUCCCCCUCCCCGCCAACCCGGAGGAGAGGGGGCGUGGUCUGGUUGGACACGCCCCCUCAUGA
rnacentral:lncRNA from 1 species